rnacentral:tRNA from 1 species
UAUAAAUUAAUGUAAGGGGCAUAAAAAUUUUUGAUAUUUUUAGAAAUAGUUUAAUUCUAUUAUUUAUAA